rnacentral:rRNA from 1 species
GUAGGUGGCAAGCGUUGUCCGGAAUUAUUGGGCGUAAAGCGCGCGCAGGCGGUUCUUUAAGUCUGAUGUGAAAGCCCACGGCUCAACCGUGGAAGGUCAUUGGAAACUGGAGAACUUGAGUACAGAAGAGGAAAGCGGAAUUCCACGUGUAGCGGUGAAAUGCGUAGAGAUGUGGAGGAACACCAGUGGCGAAGGCGGCUUUCUGGUCUGUAACUGACGCUGAGGCGCGAAAGCGUGGGGAGCAAACAGGGAUUAGAUACCCUGGUAGUCCACGCCGUAAACGAUGAGUGCUAAGUGUUAGGGGGUUUCCGCCCCCUUAGUGCUGCAGCUAACGCAUUAAGCACUCCGCCUGGGGAGUACGGCCGCAAGGCUG